rnacentral:rRNA from 1 species
CUAGCCUUAAACUUUGAUAGUAAGACCUACUAUCCGCCAGAGAAUUACGAGCGAAAAGCUUAAAACUCAAAAGACUUGACGGUGCCCCAAACCAACCUAGAGGAGCCUGUCCUAUAAUCGAUGACCCGCGCUUUACCCCACCUGCCCUCGCACAAAUCAGCCAGCCUAUAUACCGCCGCCUUCCAGCCUACCUUACAAAAGUAACACAGCAAGCAAAAUAGCCCCUCCGCUAAAACGUCAGGUCAAGGUGUAGCUAAUGGGCAGGAAAGAGAUGGGCUACAUUCUCUACGCACAUAGACCACCACCCCCGGUAUCAUGAAAACAUACCUCAAAGGAGGAUUUAGUAGUAAUUUAGGCAAGACUUCCUAAAUGAAUCCUGCUCUGGGGCGC